GAAGCCAAACACAGGGACUAAAGGUUUUAGUCCAUUAGUCUCUAAGGAUGGCUAAAAGAGACUAAAAAUUCACUUUUCCACCCAUACUCCUCCCCAUCAGCCCUAUCCUAUACCCUCUCUCUUCUUCCUGCGCGCCGCCAUCGGCAACUCCAUCUCUCGGCCAUCCAGCGUCUCCCAUCCGUCCGUCCCCCUCCCUCCUCCCUCUCAACCUAGCGCCCGGCGACACCUGGAUCCACCGCUGGGUCACCACCGUCGGGUUGCGGGCACAUGGGUGGCGGUACAGCGGCCGGAGACGCCCCGGGCUGAGGAGGCGAAGGGAACAGGGUGAGCAUAGCGUCGUCAUGAAGAACAAGGGCUCAGGGUCUAAAACUGCUUGCUUUGCUUUGUCAACGAAGAGCCCAAUAACCUACCCGUACUGAGGACCGAGCACUAGCUCGGUUGGUUGGCUUCUGGUUGUGGGAGCAGCCGCUCGCGGGUUCGGUCCCUGGGGUCGAAUCCUGCUUGCCUCAUCGAGGAUUUACCCCCUGUUGCCCUGAUUAGUUCUAAGGUUGGUUCAGUACACAA